CUACGGGAGGCUGCAGUGGGGAAUAUUGCACAAUGGGCGCAAGCCUGAUGCAGCCAUGCCGCGUGUAUGAAGAAGGCCUUCGGGUUGUAAAGUACUUUCAGCGGGGAGGAAGGGAGUAAAGUUAAUACCUUUGCUCAUUGACGUUACCCGCAGAAGAAGCACCGGCUAACUCCGUGCCAGCAGCCGCGGUAAUACGGAGGGUGCAAGCGUUAAUCGGAAUUACUGGGCGUAAAGCGCACGCAGGCGGGUUGUUAAGUCAGAUGUGAAAUCCCCGGGCCCAACCUGGGAACUGCAUCUGAUACUGGCAAGCUUGAGUCUCGUAGAGGGGGGUAGAAUUCCAGGUGUAGCGGUGAAAUGCGUAGAGAUCUGGAGGAAUACCGGUGGCGAAGGCUGCCCCCUGGACGAAGACUGACGCUCAGGUGCGAAAGCGUGGGGAGCAAACAGGAUUAGAUACCCUCGUAGUC
rnacentral:rRNA from 1 species